AUACGUAGGUGGCAAGCGUUAUCCGGAUUUAUUGGGCGUAAAGCGAGCGCAGGCGGUUUUUUAAGUCUGAUGUGAAAGCCCUCGGCUUAACCGAGGAAGUGCAUCGGAAACUGGGAAACUUGAGUGCAGAAGAGGACAGUGGAACUCCAUGUGUAGCGGUGAAAUGCGUAGAUAUAUGGAAGAACACCAGUGGCGAAGGCGGCUGUCUGGUCUGUAACUGACGCUGAGGCUCGAAAGCAUGGGUAGCGAACAGGAUUAGAUACCCUGGUAGUCCAUGCCGUAAACGAUGAAUGCUAGGUGUUGGAGGGUUUCCGCCCUUCAGUGCCGCAGCUAACGCAUUAAGCAUUCCGCCUGGGGAGUACGACCGCAAGGUUGAA
rnacentral:rRNA from 1 species